rnacentral:rRNA from 1 species
CAAUAGCGUAUAUUAAAGUUGUUGCGGUUAAAAAGCUCGUAGUUGGAUUUCUGCUGAGGACGACCGGUCCGCCCUCCGGGUGAGCAUCUGGUUCGGCCUUGGCAUCUUCUUGGUGAACGUAUCUGCACUUGACUGUGUGGUGCGGUACCCAGGACUUUUACUUUGAGGAAAUUAGAGUGUUUCAAGCAGGCAUACGCCUUGAAUACAUUAGCAUGGAAUAAUAAGAUAGGACCUCGGUUCUAUUUUGUUGGUUUCUAGAGCUGAGGUAAUGAUUAAUAGGGAGUAGUUGGGGGCAUUCGUAUUUAACUGUCAGAGGUGGAAUUCUCAGAAUUUGUUAAAGACUUGACUUAUGCGAAAGCAUUUGCCAAGGUAUGUUUUCAUUAAU